rnacentral:rRNA from 1 species
CCUACGGGAGGCAGCAGUCGGGAAUAUUGCGCAAUGGAGGAAACUCUGACGCAGUGACGCCGCGUAUAGGAAGAAGGUUUUCGGAUUGUAAACUAUUGUCGUUAGGGAAGAUAAAAGACUGUACCUAAGGAGGAAGCACCGGCUAACUAUGUGCCAGCAGCCGCGGUAUUACAUAGGGGGCAAGCGUUAUCCGGAAUUAUUGGGUGUAAAGGGUGCGUAGACGGAGAAACAAGUUGGUUGUGAAAUCCCUCGGCUCAAUCGAGGAAGUGCAACCAAAACUAUUUCCCUUGAGUGUCGGAGAGGAA